AGGCCGUUCCGGACGGAGCGGCAUCGGCCGACAUCACCCACCCGCUCCCGGCCAGAACGUUCAAUCCGUUGGUUGUGGGUUCGAGUCCCACACGGCCUA
rnacentral:tRNA from 1 species